AUGCGUGGCUUCGAGCCUGGGGAGGACUGCGUUCACUUCGCGGGCGAACUUCUUGAAGAUGCGCUGAGAGGCUGGGGCUUGUGCCCCGCCCAAGAUGCAGGCGAUUGCGCGCGGCUCCUGAAAGCCCCCAACCCCCUCAUCCUGGUGGCGGUCUUCGUUUCUUCUUGGCUGCGGCGGCUGCGGUGGGAGGCCUGCGUUGCCUUGCGGGCGACCCUCGCGAGGCUGAUCCCUCUAGUCCCCCUCGCGAGGCUGAUCCCUCCAGCCUCCCUCGCGAGGCGGGUCUUGCCAGCGAUCCUCGCGAGGUUGGUUGCGCCACCCUUGGCGUGGGCCAUGGUCUUCCCGGCGUCCUACGUUCCAUCCUCCUCCUCGGCCAUAGCCCCGGUCACUGCGGUGAGGGCGACGGCCGAUCCUUCCUUCUCGCACGGCUCGGAGCUCUUGACAUUCAUUGGUGUUGUGGGUGUGGAGGUCGUGGUACACACAGUACCGGCCGCCCUUGGAAGGUUCGGGCUGAUCUCUGCCUCGCUUGGUGUCUGGUUCUGCCGCGAGCACAGUAGCCCCCUUGCGCUUCACAUCCUUGGUCUUGGGCUUCUUCUCUUCUGGGUCUGCGGCAGGCAGCUCGAGGAGGGAGAGACGCCCUUCCUCGGCCCUGGCGCACUUGAUUGCCAGGUUGAACAGCUCCAAGGAGGUGCACAGGUCUUCAUGCAUCGCCAGCUCCUCCUUCAUCUUGACGUUGCGCACGCCGUCGGAGAAGGCCGAGAUGAUGGCCUCCUCGGUCACCUUGGAAAUCUUGAGGCGCGCGUUGUUGAAGCGCUGGAUGUACUUCUGCAGGGUCUCCCCGGGCUGUUGCUUGAUGCGGCGCAUGUCGCUUACAGCGGGUGGCCGGUCGCGAGUGCCUUGGAAGUUGGCGAUGAAGCGGGUGCGCAUCACGUCCCAGGAGGAGAUUGUGCCUGGAGCCAGGUUCAGGAGCCAGGUGCGGGCCCCGUCCUUGAGUGCCAUGGGGAACUAGUUCGCCAUGACCUUCUCAUCUUCGUUGGCAGCUUCGAUGCCCAGCUCGUAGAGCUGGAGGAACUCCGCAGGGUCAGCCGUGCCGUCGUAGCGAGGAGGCAAGUCUGGCUUGAACUUGCCGGCCACGCUACGUUGCGUCGCUCGGCGGUGAAGGCGCGGCAGCCUGUUGUGGCCACGGGAGGCCUUGGAUGA
rnacentral:rRNA from 1 species